rnacentral:rRNA from 1 species
UACGUAGGGGGCUAGCGUUGUUCGGAUUUACUGGGCGUAAAGGGCGCGUAGGCGGCAGGCCAAGCGUGCGGUGAAAGUCCGGGGCUCAACCCCGGAUCUGCCGUGCGGACUGGUUUGCUAGAGCACUGUAGAGGCGAGUGGAAUUCCGGGUGUAGCGGUGGAAUGCGUAGAGAUCCGGAAGAACACCGGUGGCGAAGGCGGCUCGCUGGGCAGUGGCUGACGCUGAGGCGCGACAGCGUGGGGAGCAAACAGG